AUGUAUAGAAAAAGGAAAUUUCUCACUGAAGCUGACCUGUCAAAUAUUUCUCUCUUAAAAAUUGUUUGCAGCAUCAGUGCCAGCAGUAGUUCCCAAGGGCUGUCUCAGCCUUCCACCCAGACAACUCAGUAUCUGAGAGCUGACACACCCAACAAUGCAACUCCUAUCACCAGUUAUCCUACCUUGCGGAUAGAGAAGAACGACCUGAGAAGUGUCACUCUUUUGGAGGCCAAAGCCAAGGUGAAGGAUAUAGCAAUAUCCAGGGAGAGGAUAACUCUAAAAGAUGUGCUCCAAGAAGGUAUUUAUUAUCUCAGAAUCAGUUUUGUGACUAAGAAUUAAUGUUACCACUACAAACAUUUUUUUUCAAAUAAUUUAAAAAAUUCCAUCUCAUUUUAUGUCUCAGAUAAGGAUAGAAGGCAGUGUAUAAUUUAUUUCUUGUAUACAAAUGAUUUUCAUUUUUCCUUUCUUUAGACUUUAAAAUGCCUUAUACAGCUUGGGUGCACUUCUUGAUUUUCAAGUAUGUCAAAGCGCAUAUAUUAGUGUUUGUUACUUUUUUUUAAGGUAUAUUUUUUGUUCUUAUUUAAAGUGAUCACUCCCUAGCAGAUCUCCUCGAAAUAGAAGUGUUUUAUUCUUGACAGAUAAUGUGAGGGUUCUAGCAGAAGGAACAUGCAUGGGCUUUGGAGUUAGACUCUAGUUACAGUCCCACAAUGUAUUACUUGUGUGACCUUAGAGAAAUUGCUUAAUGUCUUUGAUCUCCAGUUUCCUCUUCUUUAAAUUUAGACUGCACUGUUAACUCUUAUUAGACUAGAUUAGAUGAAAUGAUGUAUAGUAAAUGAACUCACAUAUAGUAGCAUUUGAUAGAUAUUGGUAUCCUUCCCAUUUCUUCUUGCUGGCCUUUACUUUCUAUUUUGAGUUUUAGGGAAAUGCUAAAAGAAGAGGACAGAAAUUAAUAAAAAAUACUACAUAUAGCUCUUCAAAUUGUUAAAUAGUUACUUUUUUACCCCUGCUGUA
rnacentral:lncRNA from 1 species